AGAGUUUGAUCCUGGCUCAGGACGAACGCUGGCGGCGUGCUUAACACAUGCAAGUCGAACGGAAAGGCCCUUCGGGGUACUCGAGUGGCGAACGGGUGAGUAACACGUGGGUGAUCUGCCCUGCACUCUGGGAUAAGCCUGGGAAACUGGGUCUAAUACCGGAUAGGACCACACACUUCAUGGUGAGUGGUGCAAAGCUUUUGCGGUGUGGGAUGAGCCCGCGGCCUAUCAGCUUGUUGGUGGGGUAAUGGCCCACCAAGGCGACGACGGGUAGCCGGCCUGAGAGGGUGACCGGCCACACUGGGACUGAGAUACGGCCCAGACUCCUACGGGAGGCAGCAGUGGGGAAUAUUGCACAAUGGGCGCAAGCCUGAUGCAGCGACGCCGCGUGAGGGAUGACGGCCUUCGGGUUGUAAACCUCUUUCAGUAGGGACGAAGCGAAAGUGACGGUACCUACAGAAGAAGGACCGGCCAACUACGUGCCAGCAGCCGCGGUAAUACGUAGGGUCCGAGCGCUGUCCGGAAUUACUGGGCGUAAAGAGCUCGUAGGUGGUUUGUCGCGUUGUUCGUGAAAACUCACAGCUUAACUGUGGGCGUGCGGGCGAUACGGGCAGACUAGAGUACUGCAGGGGAGACUGGAAUUCCUGGUGUAGCGGUGGAAUGCGCAGAUAUCAGGAGGAACACCGGUGGCGAAGGCGGGUCUCUGGGCAGUAACUGACGCUGAGGAGCGAAAGCGUGGGUAGCGAACAGGAUUAGAUACCCUGGUAGUCCAA
rnacentral:rRNA from 1 species